AGUGAACGCUGGCGGUAGGCCUAACACAUGCAAGUCGAACGGCAGCACAGUAAGAGCUUGCUCUUACGGGUGGCGAGUGGCGGACGGGUGAGGAAUACAUCGGAAUCUACUUUUUCGUGGGGGAUAACGUAGGGAAACUUACGCUAAUACCGCAUACGACCUACGGGUGAAAGCAGGGGAUCUUCGGACUUUGCCCGAUUGAAUGAGCCGAUGUCGGACUAGCUAGUUGGCGGGGUAAAGGCCCACCAAGGCGACGAUCCGUAGCUGGUCUGAGAGGAUGAUCAGCCACACUGGAACUGAGACACGGUCCAGACUCCUACGGGAGGCAGCAGUGGGGAAUAUUGGACAAUGGGCGCAAGCCUGAUCCAGCCAUACCGCGUGGGUGAAGAAGGCCUUCGGGUUGUAAAGCCCUUUUGUUGGGAAAGAAAAGCAGCAGGUUAAUACCCCGCUGUUCUGACGGUACCCAAAGAAUAAGCACCGGCUAACUUCGUG
rnacentral:rRNA from 1 species